rnacentral:rRNA from 1 species
UACGUAGGGGGCAAGCGUUGUCCGGAUUUAUUGGGCGUAAAGAGCGUGUAGGCGGUCAGGUAGGUCCGUUGUGAAAACUCGAGGCUCAACCUCGAGACGCCGAUGGAAACCAUCUGACUAAAGUCCGGAAGAGGAGAGUGGAAUUCCUGGUGUAGCGGUGAAAUGACGCAGAUAUCAGGAAGAACACCUAUGGCGAAGGCAGCUCUCUGGGACGGUACUGACGCUGAGACGCGAAAGCGUGGGGAGCGAACAGG